rnacentral:rRNA from 1 species
GGGAUUUGGNCAUGGGCGCAGCCUGNUCCAGCAAUGCCGCGUGCAGGAUGAAGGCCUUCGGGUUGUAAACUGCUUUUGUACGGAACGAAAAGGUUGUCUCUAAUAAAGACGGCUCAUGACGGUACCGUAAGAAUAAGCACUGGCUAACUACGUGCCAGCAGCCGCGGUAAUACGUAGGGUGCGAGCGUCAAUCGGAAUUACUGGGCGUAAAGCGUGCGCAGGCGGUGAUGUAAGACAGAUGUGAAAUCCCCGGGCUCAACCUGGGACCUGCAUUUGUGACUGCAUCGCUAGAGUACGGCAGAGGGGGAUGGAAUUCCGCGUGUAGCAGUGAAAUGCGUAGAUAUGCGGAGGAACACCGAUGGCGAAGGCAAUCCCCUGGGCCUGUACUGACGCUCAUGCACGAAAGCGUGGGGAGCAAACAGGAUUAGAUACCCUGGUAGUCCACGCCCUAAACGAUGUCAACUGGUUGUUGGGUCUUCACUGACUCAGUAACGAAGCUAACGCGUGAAGUUGACCGCCUGGGGAGUACGGCCCGCAAGGUUGAAACUCAAAAAAAUUGACGGA